rnacentral:rRNA from 1 species
UACGGAGGGUGCAAGCGUUAUCCGGAUUCACUGGGUUUAAAGGGUGCGUAGGCGGUUCAGUAAGUCCGUGGUGAAAUCUCUGAGCUUAACUCAGAAACUGCCGUGGAUACUAUUUGCCUUGAAUAUUGUGGAGGUGAGCGGAAUAUGUCAUGUAGCGGUGAAAUGCUUAGAUAUGACAUAGAACACCAAUUGCGAAGGCAGCUCACUACACAAUCAUUGACGCUGAGGCACGAAAGCGUGGGGAUCAAACAGG